rnacentral:rRNA from 1 species
UACGAAGGGGGCUAGCGUUGCUCGGAUUUACUGGGCGUAAAGCGCACGUAGGCGGGUCGUUAAGUCGGGGGUGAAAUCCCGGAGCUCAACUCCGGAACGGCCUUCGAUACUGGCGACCUCGAGUCCGGGAGAGGUGAGUGGAACUGCGAGUGUAGAGGUGAAAUUCGUAGAUAUUCGCAAGAACACCAGUGGCGAAGGCGGCUCACUGGCCCGGUACUGACGCUGAGGUGCGAAAGCGUGGGGAGCAAACAGG